GAUAUGGUGUUGUGUUCAGGUUGAUAGCCACAUCCCUGGUGUAGAUACAGUAGGGGGCUUCUCCAUGCGGUCGUCACCGGGUCUGCUACAUAGGGACGGGAUGCUGCAACUGGCAGUCAAACAAAGCCCUCAUCCACCUGCACACUGGGUGCAUACAAAGUGCAAGGUGGGGGCUCAAGUGGACCUGCGUGUGGGUGGCGACUACUUCUAUGACCCUCAGCCAGGCGAGGAGCCUCCCACAAACCUGCUUUUGGUGGCGGGUGGGGUCGGGAUCAACCCCCUCAUGAGUAUGCUGAGCCACGUUCAUGAUCUGCAGCAGAUGGCGACGACACGCAUCAUGUGCCCAAACAAGGUCAUCCUCAUGUUCAGUGCCAAAACCAAGGAGGAACUUUUGUUUAGGAAAAGAAUUGAUGAAUUAUGCAAUAUGAAGUCAAACAACAUGUCAUCAAUGUAUUUCAUCACAGAGGAGACGGCUGGGAAAGGAGACAACUUUGUUUACAGUCGAAUCAAAGAGCAGCACAUACACGAAGUGACGGACAGGUUGAAACCAGGGAAGGUGGAGUGCUACCUGUGUGGUCCAUCCCCCAUGAUAGCAAGUAUAGAAACAAUGCUUAAGGCUUGUGGCAUCACUGAACCAAGCAUUCACUACGAGAGAUGGUGGUAGAUGCUCUGGGAUUGUAUACUGGAGGAGUAUCAUGGCAUUAUGGAAUUCCUAUGACACAGCAUAAUUUUGAAGUUCAAUGGGAAACGGCGUAGUGUACCAACUUAUUAUUUUAAUAAAUUGAACCUUGAUACUUUUGUAUUGUGUUUCUUUUCUCCAGAGCUGAAGGUUGAGUCACGUGAUUUAUGAAUGAGAUGCCAUUCUCCAUAUAAGGAAAAUCAUACUAUGAACACGGCGAAAUGUCCCUUUUGAGGCAAAGCAGGCGUAAAAAGUCAUAUCAUCCAAAAAUAUCUCCAACGGUAGAUAUCCCUUGUGUGAGAUCAAGCGAUACCUCCUUGGAGAUAUCACCACAAAUGAUGUCAUUUGAUUGUAGCAAUAUCUCCGGCAUGACAUCAUAUCCCUUGUACCAUCACUGUGACGUCACAAUUGUCAAGCAGCAGCAUUGUUCUGGCUUAUGGCAGCCCAGAAAAUGUCAGUAAAACAUUUACAAAAUAACACUCUAAAUUACCUGAGUAAACUUCUUUUCCCUAGUAUGAAUAAUCUCUUACAAGAAAAACUCCCUUCAGUGAAUCUACAAGUAAUGAUGGACUCAAAUCUUUUAAUAUGUAAGGACAGACAUGCUUUCAGUAGAUGUGUUUUGAUUCAUAUGAAUACAACGUUAUGUU